UGUUUGAUUGAGGGUAAUGGGGUUACACCGGUUGCAUAAUUGUGAACGAGUACAUUUUGUCGUUUUUCCCUUCUUUUGCUAUUGUUGAUGUUAUUAAAAAGUUGGAGACAAAUUCCAUGGUUGAUGAUCGAGUAAUUACUCUUAGGAUUAUAGGAUAACGAUUGGAAGAGCAUGAUGGUGGUAUUGGAUUAAUUACAAAGGAUUUUACUUGUGCAUAAUAUUCUAUAGUUACGGGUCUUGAUACAUGAUAGUUGGUAUAUAUUUAUCUUUCGUGGUUGAAUUUUUAUUAUACAAUAUCAUAUCACGAUUCAAGUUUUAUAUAUAUUGAGAUAAGUAAUUAAAUAUUAAGGCCAUUGUAUUAUAUAAAUAUCAUUAGAUUUAUGGAAUUGGAGAAUGGAAACUUAACCCUAGACUUGAAAUUUGGAAGUAUGAGGGUUGACAUGAUAAUUGGCAUCAAAAUUUAGGAACUUGAUUUUAGGUUUGUGUAAGUUUUUGGGUCUAGGCUAGACCUAUAGUAAUAUGGUUGUUGUUAGUUUUGAAAAUUUAUUGUGAUUAAUUAUUUGAAUAGAUUGCAUUGAUUUGGAAGCCUAACGAAAGGGGAAGACU
rnacentral:lncRNA from 1 species